AGGCGCGCGCGCCAGUUGGAGGGGGAGGGGCGGAGAGUCGUUGCGGAGCGCGCGCGGGGCUGGUAGCCGCGAGCGUGGGGGAACGUGGACCGCUUCGCGGCGCGGCGGAGGUGCUGCCUUCUGUCGGCCCUCCACCGUGGUCCGGGCGAGGGCACUGGCGACCGUGGGGCCGGGGUCGGCCAGGCCGGAGGAGGCGGCCGGGCCCGGGCAUGGUGGUCUCGGGCAACGCGGAAGAAGCUCCACCAUGAGGCGAGGUGGAUGGAGGAAGCGAGCUGAAAAUGAUGGCUGGGAAAAAUGGGGUGGGUAUAUGGCUGCCAAGGUCCAGAAAUUGGAGGAACAGUUUCGCUCAGAUGCUGCUAUGCAGAAGGAUGGGAGUUCAUCUACAAUUUUUAGUGGAGUUGCCAUCUAUGUUAAUGGAUAUACAGAUCCUUCUGCUGAGGAAUUGAGAAAACUAAUGAUGUUGCAUGGAGGUCAAUAUCAUGUAUAUUAUUCCAGAUCCAAAACAACACACAUUAUUGCCACAAAUCUUCCUAAUGCCAAAAUUAAAGAAUUAAAGGGGGAAAAAGUAAUUCGACCAGAAUGGAUUGUGGAAAGCAUCAAAGCUGGACGCCUCCUCUCCUACAUUCCAUAUCAGCUGUACACCAAGCAGUCCAGUGUGCAGAAAGGUCUCAGCUUUAAUCCUGUAUGCAGACCUGAAGAUCCUGUGCCAGGUCCAAGCAAUAUAGCCAGACAGCUCAACAACAGGGUAAAUCACAUUGUUAAGAAGACUGAGACAGAAAAUGAAGUCACAGUCAAUGGAGUAAACAGCUGGAAUGAAGAAGGUGAAAAUACUGAUUUUAGUUUUGUGGAUCUGGAGCAAAUCUCUCCGGGAAGGAAACAGAAUGGAAUUCCGCACCCCGGCAGCAGCACUACCAUUUUUAAUGGACACACUCAUAGCUCUAAUGGUGCCUUAAAGACACAGGAUUGCUUGGUGCCCAGGGGCAACAGUGUUGCCAGCAGGCUUUCUCUAGACAUUUCCCAGGAGGAGGAGAAGGCUGAGAAGAGCAGCACUGAUUUCAGAGACUGCGCUCUGCAGCAGUUGCAGCAAAGCACCGGAAACACAGAUGCUUUGCGGAAUCCACACAGAACUAAUUCUUUCUCAUUAUCACCUUUGCACAGUAACACUAAAAUCAAUGGUGCUCACCAUUCCACUGUUCAGGGGCCUUCAAGCACAAAAAGCACUUCUUCGGUUUCCACUCUUAGCAAGGCAGCAUCUUCAGUGCCAUCCAAACCUUCAGACUGCAAUUUUAUUUCAAAUUUCUAUUCUCGUUCAAGACUGCAUCACAUAUCAAUGUGGAAGUGUGAAUUGACUGAGUUUGUCAAUACCCUACAAAGGCAAAGUAAUGGUAUCUUUCCAGGAAGGGAAAAGUUAAAAAAAAUGAAAACAGGCAGGUCUGCACUUGUUGUAACUGACACAGGAGACAUGUCAGUACUGAAUUCUCCCAGACAUCAGAGCUGUAUAAUGCAUGUUGAUAUGGAUUGCUUCUUUGUAUCAGUGGGUAUACGAAACAGACCAGAUCUCAAAGGAAAACCAGUGGCUGUUACAAGUAACAGAGGCACAGGAAGGGCACCUUUACGUCCUGGUGCUAACCCCCAGCUGGAGUGGCAGUAUUACCAGAAUAAAAUCCUGAAAGGCAAAGCAGCAGAUAUACCAGAUUCAUCAGUGUGGGAGAAUCCAGAUUCUGGACAAAUAAAUGGAAUUGAUUCUGUUUUGUCAAAGGCUGAAAUUGCAUCUUGUAGUUAUGAGGCCAGGUCCCUCAAAGUUCUGGAACCCUGGCUCCUGCCCAGAGUGAUGUCCUACCAUAUACAAUGCUGUUGGCAUCUCAACCACUGUGGAGCCACUUCAGGAGCAUGGAAUUGGCAAGUUGGCAUUAAGAACGGAAUGUUUUUUGGGCAUGCCAAACAACUAUGUCCUAAUCUUCAAGCUGUUCCAUAUGAUUUUCAUGCGUAUAAGGAAGUCGCACGAACAAUGUAUGAAACAUUGGCAAGCUACACUCAUAACAUUGAAGCUGUCAGUUGUGAUGAAGCACUGGUAGACAUUACCGAAAUCCUUGCAGAGACCAAACUUACUCCUGAUGAAUUUGCAAAUGCCGUUCGUAUGGAAAUCAAAGACCAGACGAAAUGUGCUGCCUCUGUUGGAAUUGGUUCUAAUAUUCUCCUGGCUAGAAUGGCAACUAGAAAAGCAAAACCAGAUGGGCAGUACCACCUAAAACCAGAAGAAGUAGAUGAUUUUAUCAGAGGUCAGCUAGUUACUAAUCUACCAGGAGUUGGACGUUCAAUGGAAUCUAAGUUGGCAUCUUUGGGAAUUAAAACGUGUGGAGACUUGCAGUAUAUGACCAUGGCAAAACUCCAGAAAGAAUUUGGUCCCAAAACAGGUCAGAUGCUUUAUAGAUUCUGCCGUGGCUUGGAUGAUAGACCAGUUCGAACUGAGAAGGAGAGAAAAUCUGUUUCAGCUGAGAUCAACUAUGGAAUCAGAUUUACUCAGCCAAAAGAGGCAGAAGCUUUUCUUCUGAGUCUUUCAGAAGAAAUUCAAAGAAGACUAGAAGCCACUGGCAUGAAGGGUAAACGUCUAACUCUCAAAAUCAUGGUACGAAAGCCUGGGGCUCCUGUAGAAACUGCAAAAUUUGGAGGCCAUGGAAUUUGUGAUAACAUUGCCAGGACUGUAACUCUUGACCAGGCAACAGAUAAUGGAAAAAUAAUUGGAAAGGCGAUGCUAAACAUGUUUCAUACAAUGAAAUUAAAUAUAUCGGAUAUGAGAGGGGUUGGGAUUCACGUUAAUCAGUUGGUUCCAGCUGAUCCGAACACUUCCACAUGUCCCAGUCGCCCAUCGAUUCAGUCAAGCCACUUUCCUCGUGGGUCACACUCUGUCCGUGAUAUCUUCCAAGUUCAGAAAGCUAUGAAAUCCACAGAAGAGGAGCACAAAGAAGUAUUUCUGGCUGCUGUGGAUCUGGAAAUAUCAUCUGCUUCUAGAACUUGCACUUUCUUGCCACAUUUUCCUGCACAUCUGCCAACCAGUAUCAGUCCUGAUACUAACAAGACUGAGUCUUCAGGGAAAUGGAAUGGUCUGCAUUCUCCUGUCAGUGUGCAGUCAAGACUUAACCUUAGUAUAGAGGUCCCGUCACCUUCCCAGCUGGAUCAGUCUGUUUUAGAAGCACUUCCACCUGAUCUCCGGGAACAAGUAGAGCAAGUCUGUGCUUUUCAGCAAGCAGAAUCACGUGGCGACAAAAAGAAACAACCAGUAAAUGGCUGUAAUUCAGGAAUUUUGCCACAACCGGUUGGGACAGUCUUGUUGCAAAUACCAGAACCUCAAGAAUCGAACAGUGACACAGGAAUAAAUGUAAUAGCCCUUCCAGCAUUUUCACAGGUGGACCCUGAGGUAUUUGCUGCCCUUCCUGCUGAACUUCAAAGGGAGCUGAAAGCAGCAUAUGAUCAAAGACAAAGGCAGAGCGAGAACAGCACUCACCAGCAGUCAGCCAGCACAUCUGUGCCGAAGAACCCUUUACUUCAGCUAAAGCCAGCAGUGGUGAAAGAAAAGAAACGAAAUAAGAAAAAAAAACCCAUCGGUUCCCCAAAAAGGAUUCAGAGUCCUUUGAAAAACAAGCUGCUUAGUAGUCCUGCAAAAACUCUGCCAGGGGCCUGUGGGAGUCCCCAGAAGUUAAUUGAUGGAUUUCUAAAACAUGAAGGACCUCCUUCAGAGAAACCUCUGGAAGAACGCUCUGCUUCUACUUCAGGUGUGCGAAGCCUUUCUAGUUUGCAGCCUGACCCAGCUGGCUGUGUUAGACCUCCAGCACCCAAUCUAGCUGGAGCUGUUGAAUUCAAUGAUGUGAAGACCUUGCUCAAAGAAUGGAUAACUACUAUUUCAGAUCCAAUGGAAGAAGACAUUUUGCAGGUUGUGAAAUACUGUACUGAUCUAAUAGAGGAAAAAGAUUUGGAAAAACUGGAUCUAGUUAUAAAAUACAUGAAAAGGUUGAUGCAGCAAUCGGUGGAAUCGGUUUGGAAUAUGGCAUUUGACUUUAUUCUUGACAAUGUUCAGGUGGUUUUACAACAGACUUAUGGAAGCACAUUAAAAGUUACAUAAAUAUACCCAGAGAGCCUGAUGCUCUCCGAUAGCUGUGCCAUAAGUGCUUGUGAGGCUCCUUUUUGUGAAUCCUUAAAAACUCAACUCUAGGAAGCAACUACUGUUUAUUAUACUAAAAGGCUGAAAAACCUCCAGGCCAGACUGCUAAGCUCUGAAAUUCCUGAGAGGUCUCAGACCGGGAUUCUACUUGUUCCAAGAAAGGGUAAAGCUUCUAAACCAUCUUAUUCUUGUCUCCAAGCACGAACACAGGAGCAUGUUAAGAAAAUCUUUACUUCUUCCAUGCGGAGAAAUCUACAUAUUUUGAAUUAGAAACACCCUCACACCCACUUGAAGAUUUUUUCCUGGGAACAUUAUUGUCCCACAGAUCAGAGGUGGUAUUGUCUUUGCCUCUACUGGCCAUUGAGAAACUUUGAUGAUAAAAAGGAACGGUAUAGAUUUUCAAGCGUAUAUAAAGUAUUUUUAUGCUAUAUGUUUUGCCGUGACUUUAAAAUAAAAAAAUAGUUUAAAAGUC